CCUGGCACCACUGGCCGGCCCCGUGUAAGGUUGGCUGGCCCUUAUAUAUCACCGUCGUCAUGGCUGCGCUAAGAGUAUCAUCUUCUCGCUUGUCUACUACCUUUAGGGGUGUUCUGCCUAACCAAGCAAUAGGCAUAUCAACGUCCUCAGCCGUGAAAACGAAAGUAGGAAAGGUGAAGUACCAAAAGACCAGCAAAUCAGGAGUGAGGAAGGAAUCUGACACCUUCGGGGAGUUAGAGGUGCCCAACAGUAAAUAUUAUGGAGCACAAACUGUUCGCUCCGUCAUGAACUUCCCCAUCGGUGGCGAGACAGAACGUAUGCCAUUGCCAGUGAUCAAGGCCUUUGGAGUGUUGAAGAAGGCUGCUGCAGAGGUGAACAAGGAAUUUGGUCUUGAUGCAACUGUUGCUGACACGAUUUCCAAGGCAGCAGAUGAAGUCAUCAGUGGUGAGCUGUAUGAGGACCACUUCCCUCUUGUCAUCUGGCAAACGGGUUCUGGAACACAGUCAAAUAUGAACACCAAUGAAGUGAUUGCCAACCGUGCCAUUGAACUUCUGGGUGGAACACUGGGCUCCAAAUCCCCCGUUCACCCUAAUGAUCAUGUCAACAAGAGUCAGAGCUCAAAUGACACAUACCCCACUGCAAUGCACAUUGCAACUGCUGUUGAAAUUCACAAUACACUUCUGCCUGGCCUGGAGGCCCUACACAACGCUUUAGAUGGCAAAGCCAAAGAGUACGCGGAUAUCAUCAAGAUCGGCCGCACUCACACACAGGACGCCACGCCCCUGACCCUCGGCCAAGAGUUUGGAGGUUAUGCUCAACAGAUAGAGUUUGGCAUCGAACGGGUCAAGGUUUGUCUCCCUCGUGUGUACAUGCUGGCAGCGGGUGGCACGGCUGUAGGUACAGGUCUCAACACCAGGAUCGGUUUUGCUGAGAAAAUUGCUGCCAAGGUAUCAGAACUUACUGGCCUGCCUUUUGUGACUGCCCCUAACAAAUUUGAAGCCUUGGCAGCUCACGAUGCCAUGGUUGAGGUCUCUGGUGCACUGAAUGUGUUGGCUUGUUCCAUCAUGAAAAUUGCCAAUGAUAUCAGGUUCCUUGCCUCAGGUCCUCGAUGUGGCCUGGGAGAGAUCUCACUCCCAGAGAAUGAACCUGGCUCCUCCAUCAUGCCUGGUAAGGUGAACCCAACUCAGUGUGAGGCGAUCACUAUGGUUGCAGCCCAGGUGAUGGGGAACCACGUUGCCGUCACUGUCGGUGGCUCCAACGGUCACUUUGAAUUGAAUGUCUUCAAGCCCAUGAUGGUUGCCAAUGUCCUAAGGUCCAUUCGGCUCAUUGGGGACAGUUGUCAUGCCUUUGUUAACAACUGUGUAGUGGGCAUUGAGGCUAACCGUGAGCAGAUCAACAAGCUUCUGCAUGAAAGUCUUAUGCUUGUCACUGCCCUCAACCCACAUAUUGGAUACGACAAGGCAGCUAAAAUUGCCAAGACAGCUCACAAGGAAGGAGCGACGCUGAAAGAAACUGCACUUAAGCUUGGGUAUUUGACUGAAGAAGAAUUCGAUAAAUGGGUGCGACCAGAAGACAUGCUUGGACCCAAGUAAAAUUAAAUGCCAGAACCUCUGAAAUUUUGUGGAAAAUGUUAUGGUGGUGGUGGCGGCGUUGGCCUUCCAACUCUUGAGACUAAGUGACGGCCCUAAUAACAGUAGUCCUCUCCAGCCUCGGACAGGACACAUGAUGACUUUGCUUCUAACGUGGACUUGGUUAUGAUGCACACAGUAGGAAAAUUGGCUGACUAGGUUGUGGUGUUUCUCAUUACUGUAGAUUUUGUAUUAAAACCUGAAAAUUACUCUAUUAGCAACAAUCAUCUCACAUAUUAGGAAACUAUUAAAUACAAUGUUUUGGGCAUAGAGAAAGGUACAGUAGCUAAAACAACUAUCUGUGCAGGUGGGGGUCGAUAUGCUCCGAAAUUUUACGUGCGACUAGUGACGGCCCUCAUAUACCAAAAUUUAUCGUCCAUGGUCUCAUAUUGUUUCCCACAAAGUAUGCACAGAUAGUUGUUUUAGCUACUGUACAGUACAUGAUUUGUACUAAUGAAUGUACCUCCAACAAAAAUGUAAUUUUUAAUGAUAAUGAUGGUUUUGUAGAUUUGAUAAAUGUAUCUUUAUUUUCUUAAUAUGUACAAAAUAAUGUUUAUGUAGGAACAGAUGUUACAUUUUUUAUCACCUUUAUAUGUAAAAGCUUCUGUUGACUUGCUAAAAAUAAACUUUGUAUAUAGUAAAUAUUAAAGCCCAAAAAAGAAACUUUGGACCCAUCUGUAUUUGUUUAAUAAAUUAUAUUGAAAACA
rnacentral:misc_RNA from 1 species